rnacentral:rRNA from 1 species
GAGUUUGAUCCUGGCUCAGAACGAACGCUGGCGGCAGGCCUAACACAUGCAAGUCGAGCGCGCCUUCGGGUGAGCGGCGGACGGGUUAGUAACGCGUGGGAACGUGCCCUUUUCUACGGAAUAGCCUCUGGAAACGGAGAGUAAUACCGUAUACGCCCUUUGGGGGAAAGAUUUAUCGGAGAAGGAUCGGCCCGCGUUAGAUUAGGUAGUUGGUGGGGUAACGGCCUACCAAGCCUACGAUCUAUAGCUGGUUUUAGAGGAUGAUCAGCAACACUGGGACUGAGACACGGCCCAGACUCCUACGGGAGGCAGCAGUGGGGAAUCUUAGACAAUGGGGGCAACCCUGAUCUAGCCAUGCCGCGUGAGUGAUGAAGGCCUUAGGGUCGUAAAGCUCUUUCAGAAGUGAAGAUGAUGACUGUAACUUCAGAAGAAGCUCCGGCUAACUCCGUGCCAGCAGCCGCGGUAAUACGUAGGGAGCUAGCGUUGUUCGGAAUUACUGGGCGUAAAGGGCGUGUAGGCUGUUAGGUAAGUCAGAGGUGAAAUCCCUAA